UUGUUGUUGACGGGGUCAGCAAGGUGGUCAGCGAGGUUCUCGAGCAGGCCUUUGCCUGUGACGAUGGCCUGUACGAAGAAGCCGAACAUGGAAAACAGCAAGGCGGCCAUUCUUGAGCUCCUUUACCUUGAGCUCGGCGAAUGCCUCUAGGUCAUCAGCCAAGCCGAGUGGGUCGAAGCUACUGCCGGGGUAGAGAGGGUCAACGAUCUCACCAAGCGGGCCACCGGCAACACGGUAUCCCUCAACGGUGCCCAUGAGCACAACCUGGCAAGCCCAUAUGGCCAGGAUGCUCUGCGCAUGGACAAGGCUCGGGUUGCCGAGGUAGUCAAGGCCACCCUCACUGAAGAUCUAGGAGCCGGCCUUGAACCAGACGGCCUCGCCGAACUUCACGCCAUUGUGAGCGAGAAGCUCAGGGAAGACACAACCGAGGGCACCAAGCAUGGCCCAGCGGGAAUGGAUCACCUCCAACUCCCUGUUCUUGGCAAAGGUCUCAAGAUCAGGGUCUCAAGAUCAGCCGAGAGCCCGGCGGUGUCCCACCCGUAGUCACCAGGAAACUCACCGGUCAGGUAGCUCGGGGGCUCGUCAGAGAGCGGGCCGAGGUACAACACGCGGUCAGAGCCGUACCACGGGCUACCCGAGGACACCGGCUUGGCCUUGGCAGCGGUCUUCCGCAUGGUGACCCGGGCCUCGCCGAAGAGAGCUGCCGACGGCAGGUUCUUCACCGUAUUGCCGGCAAAGGCCGAGGAAGAAAGAGACAUGGUGGUGGCCGCCAUUGCACUUGCUUUUAAGACCGGUGGUUGCUGACCUCCGUGCUCUCCAAUAGUAUUGGAUGAGUGUGAAGAACUGGAGAUGGUAUCAGAAGAGAGGAGGAUGGAGCUAGUUAAAGGAGUGAGAAAGAACGGAGGGGAUUGCCCGGUACGGUGCUGGCAAGGGGGAGAGAGCCUGAAAAAUCUGAAGCUGCGUUGCCAUUGGUGCACAGUUGGCGCAGCAAGGGCCUCAUGUGGAUAUACGAUAAAGUUGUGGGUAGGGCUAAGAGGAGUCCCCGUGGAGAUGUGUGAUUGGGCUGAGUUUGAUGAACAAUCGCACAGGGACACAAGUGAUUUGCGCUGCAUAAACUGUCAUAGCUAUUCUGAUCCGCUUUAUUUGCUUCUUAUACAGACUCUGUAAACUUGGCCUGUACUAGCUAACUGACGCCUAAAUGAAAAUGAAAAUACCAGACAGAACGAGUCUUACUGACGUGCCAUCCCACGGUGUUGAUCGUGUCCUGGUCAUGCCGCCAUUGACGCUUGAUUCGUGCCAUCCCACGAAGCAGUCAAAGGCGGCGCACUAAAGCAGCUGACUAACAAGUAGUGACUCAGGCAAGACCGCAAGACACGAACAAACACGUGCCAGAUGCCUGUUUAUUCAGUUACUGAACUUACUGAAGAAAAAUGACACCGACAACAACAUUACGGUGAACAGUACAUUAAGUAUUACUGCUUAUUCAUUAUUGCUUUGUGGUCAUUGUCUUUUGACGUUUUCUGUGGAAUACCUAUUUUUAAUUUCUCUCUUCCUCAUGAUUAGUAUGACGCAAUAAGUUAAUGGAAAUGAUUCAGGGAUAUGAGACUGUAAUUGUUCAAGGAGAUUAUUGGGUUGGUAAUUCAGGAUAUUUUUGAUACGAUGAUUCUUUCCAUUCUUAGUUUGUUUCAUGGUAAACGACCAAUUAGUGAAAGUGACCUCUUAAUGAGGGCCUCGUUUUCAUAUAUACACAUGUCGAAAAGCUGGUGGGUAGAUCUUGUGGUAAUAGACAUGAUCCUCUAGUUUUUAACUCUGAGUUUAUGUAUUCUAUAUCCGACAAUUGGCGGCGUGCUCAGUUUUGUAUGCGAUUGGUAAGCACAUGUCAUUGGUUACAAUAAGUGCAAAACAUACGUCAGAGAGUAUUGUUCUGAUAAAAUACCAAAUGGCUAGAUGCAGAAUAUCAGAGAGUAAAGUGGCCUUCGAAUCAAACAAUCUUUUUCAUGAGAUCCUCGUUGUAUACAUCAUCAUCAUGGUAGUACAAAUCACACCAGCUAUCCACACUUCAUAGUUGCAUGGUCGAUCUCGUUGACUACUUGCCGGGGACGAAGUUGGUGGCGAAGGCCCACGCAUUGUUGUUGACAGGGUCAGCAAGGUGGUCGGCGAGGUUCUCAAGUGGGCCCUUGCCGGUGACAAUGGCCUGUACAAAGAAGCCGAACAUGGAGAACAUGGCGAGACGGCCAUUCUUGAUCUCCUUCACCUUGAGCUCUGCGAAUGCCUCGGGGUCGUCGGCAAGGCCGAGUGGGUCAAAGCUGCCGCCGGGGUAGAGAGGGUCAACGAUCUCGCCGAGCGGGCCACUGGCAACACGGUAUCCCUCGACGGCGCCCAUGAGAACGACCUGGCAGGCCCAAAUGGCGAGGAUGCUCUGGGCAUGGACGAGGCUCGGGUUGCCGAGGUAGUCAAGGCCCCCCCUCAGUGAAGAUCUGAGAGCCGGCCUUGAACCAGACGGCCUCGCCGAACUGAACACCAUUGCGGGCGAGAAGCUCAGGGAAGACGCAACCGAGCGCGCCAAGCAUGGCCCAACGACAGUGGAUCACCUCAAGCUCGCGGUUCUUGGCAAAGGUCUCGGGGUCCGCUGAGAGCCCGGCGGUGUCCCACCCAUAGUCGCCGGGAAACUCACCGGUUAGGUAACUCGGGGGCUCGCCAGAGAGCGGGCCGAGGUACAGCACACGGUCGGAGCCGUACCACGGGCUGCUCGAGGAGAUUGGCUUGGCCUUGGCGGCGGUCUUGCGCAUGGUGCCCCGGCCUCACCGAAGAGAGUCGAUGACGGCAUGUUCUUCACCGUCUUGCCAGCGAAGGCCGAAGAAGAGAGAGACAUGGUAGUGGCUGCCAUUGCGCUAGCUCUUAAAACGGUGGUGGUCGAACUCUAUGCUUCUAAUAGUAUUCUGUGAGUGUGAAGGACUGAAGAUGGAUUCAGAAGGGAGGAGGAGGGAGCUACUUAAAGAAGUGAGAAGAGAAGACAGAGGGAAUUGAUCUGUGCUGGCAAGAGAGACACAGCCUGAGAAAUCUGAUGCCACCAUCUCAUUGGUGCAGCGGCCAUCCGGGUACAGUUGGCGCAGGGACAUCCUCAAGGGGAUGGGAUAUAGUCGUGGGUAGGGCUUGGGGAUUCUGCAUGUGCACUACAAUUUGUUGUACAACUAAUAAGUUAUUGAGUUUAAUCAGUUAUUGAGGAUUCUGCAUGUGCACUUACAAUUUGUUGUACAACUAAUAAGUGUUAAUUUGCUUCCUCCGAAGGUAAUAGUCAAAAGAAGUUUUUUGUUGGUAAACUGAUAGUAAACAUGCUCGAUCAACAUGUAUUGUCCACAUAUGGAGUUAAAAAUGAAUUAGCCAGUCGUGGGGCCAUAAUUUAGCCUUUGCUCAUGUACAUAGUAACUUUAUAUAAUCCGUGCUUUUAUAGUAUUGACCGUGACGGGGUGAAACCAGAUGGCACGAUCCACCUGUAAGAACAAAAGGAUUCGGGUUAAAAGCUUUAGUGGGAUCAUUAGUGACUGAACUUUUGCUAAAUGGGGUCAAAAAAGAAAUCACACUAAAUGAAACCAAAGCUGUAAGAAACAUAAAUUGAGGGGUCAAAAAAUAGAAUUCACUCUUUUAUGAACGUGUGAGGAAAGAAAUUAUUUCAUAAUUAAUGAAAAUAAAAGUCAGCGGAAUGGGGAACAUUGUUACGCGAGGUUAUUGGGUUUGAGUAAUUUAGAUGAUUGUUUUUAAUCUUUGCUUGUAUAAUAAAAACAUCAUUUUUAUUUUGGCGUGCAGAAAAGAUGACAGAUAGAUCUUGUGAUCACAGAUAUGAUGCUCUAAUUGUUGCCUCUGAGUUUCUGUAUUCUAUAUCCGGGAAGCAGCCCCAUGCGUGCCCUGCAAAAUUAGUAUGACUAAGAUUGUUAUUUUUGUAUAUACUUCCUUGUUAAUUGGGAUCUUUCUUAUCGACCAAAUCACCUAAUCCCAUCAAAAUUCUUUUAUGUCCUUUUCAUUGGCCUGGGUAUUUCUAGAUUUUGUAGUUAGUUCUGGAAUAUCCAUCCCUGAAAAAGGAAUGCGGUACACGUCAUUUUUACGGUAAGUUUGUUCACUUCCACGAGAGUAUGUAUUGCUCUGAUAAAACAUUGGGGGACAUCACAAAGUGUCUACUUCAAAAUCUGACAAUCUUUUGUUCAUAAGAUCCUCGUAAUUAAUUUACAUCAUCAUCGUGGUAGUACAAGUGAAACCAGCUACACACACUUGGUCGCGAGCAUAGUCGAUUUGCAUAUACACAUGUGCCUCUCAUUGACACCUUACUUGCCGGGAACGAAGUUGGUGGCAAAGGCCCACGCGUUGUUGUUGACGGGGUCGGCAAGGUGGUCAGCGAGGUUCUCAAGGGGACCCUUGCCGGUGACGAUGGCCUGAACGAAGAAGCCGAACAUGGAGAACAUGGCGAGGCGGCCGUUCUUGAUCUCCUUCACCUUGAGCUCAGCGAACGCCUCAGGGUCGUCAGCCAAGCCAAGGGGGUCGAAGCUGCCGCCGGGGUAGAGAGGGUCGACGAUCUCACCGAGCGGACCACCAGCAACACGGUACCCCUCGACGGCGCCCAUGAGCACGACCUGGCAAGCCCAGAUGGCGAGGAUGCUCUGGGCAUGGACGAGGCUCGGGUUGCCAAGGUAGUCGAGGCCGCCCUCGCUGAAGAUCUGGGAGCCGGCCUUGAACCAGACGGCCUCGCCAAACUUGACGCCGUUGCGGGCAAGCAGCUCGGGGAAGACGCAACCGAGCGCGCCGAGCAUGGCCCACCUGCAGUGGAUCACCUCCAGCUCCCGGUUCUUGGCGAAGGUCUCGGGGUCAGCCGAGAGCCCGGCGGUGUCCCACCCGUAAUCGCCGGGGAACUCACCGGUCAGGUAGCUCGGGGGUUCGCCGGAGAGCGGGCCGAGGUACAACACGCGGUCGGAGCCGUACCACGGGCUGCCUGAGGAGACCGGCUUGGCCUUGGCAACGGUCUUGCGCAUGGUGAUGCGGGCCUCUCCGAGCGCCGGCAGGUUCUUCACCGCCUUCCCGGCGAAGGUCGAGGAGGAGAGGGCCAUGGUGGCGGUCGCCAUUGAUGUACUGCUGUACCGUGCUCUCCUAAGAGUGUGAGGCUGGCUCUGGUGUGCGUGGAGAUGGUUUGAGAUGGGCAGAGGAGGUAGCUAUUUAACGGUGCUCUGUGGGUACAGAGAAGGGAAGAUGAUGAGAGAGAUGGCUAGAAAAAUCUGAAGCUGGGAUGCCAUUGGUGGAGUGGAGAUAUCGGCACAGUUGGCGCAGCGAGAGCCUCAAGCCGGUGGAGAUAGCUCAGACUUGCCAUGUGGAGAGGGGCUAUUGGGUGCCGUUGAUUUUCUCGUGGCUGAGGAUAUUGAUGUCGCUGAUAUUUUUUACUCGGACUGGAAGUUGCUGUUUUAGCCGUCAGAAGCUGUUAAAAAACGGAAACGUCGUGAAGGGGAUUGAUCGCCUCGUCUUGUGUCGUGUAUGUUUAGCAGUUGUUGUUUUCACUGUAUUUUCUUGGUCCUCACCGUAUCGUGCGUGGAUGUCGGUAAGAACCUGUAGAAAUGAAAUUCGUGUGCUUCUGCUUCUGAACCGAAACUGCGUAGUGCCAGCUACUGGAGACUGGGACUGGAGGGUGCAGGCUUGAGACGGCGUCAGUUUUGGGCCUAGUGAAACCACGAGGAGGCAUGCCUCCGCGCUCAAGCAGCCAUGGGCCUCAUUGUACUGGGUUGCGCAGCCUUUCAGAGUGGGCCGGAAGCAGGUAGAGUGCGGCUCGUUAUCUCCAGAUACGCAGCAGCCCGUCGCCCCGUCCUCAAACCGUCUAGUCAAAGGAAAAAAAAAGUCCUCAGAUGAGUCCAUCGUGCAGACAUUGGACUCUAGCUGCUCCCACCGGAUCACCGCAAAACCAAAACGAAAAACCCACGGUACCGAUCGACCUGGGCCUGCGGUACAACCAAAGCCCAAAAAGGAACCCACGGAGCGGAGCCGCCCGGGCCCUGCACGCUAUAGCAAGCAACAUCGUCCGUCCGUUUACUUUCCGAGGCCCACCUUUCCCACAGCUCAGAUCCAAAGGAAUCACACGCGCCCGAGCUCUUGAGAAUUCCAGAUCACGCAAGGGCAGCAAGGCGGCCACCGCACGGCACGGCAGUCGGCAGGCAACGCCCUUCCCGCCGUUCCGUCCGUUGGUUCCCGGGCGGGAACGUGCGCCCCCUCGUGAUCCGGCUUUUGCUUGCCCACACGCACUCCCGAGUACUCCCGGCCCGACUCAAUUAUCUUCGUCGCCUCGCUUGUCCCAUCGCUUCUCUCGCUGUCACAACCCAGUCCCUUCCGGAACGCCAAAACAGUCCAACCAACUUCGUCUUCCAGAGCUCAGCCAGCCAGCCGGCCACCACCAAGCACCAACGCCGCCCGUCCCCGCUGCUACCAUGUCCAUGUCGCUGCGCCUCGCUCUCCCCUCGUCAGCGCCCGUGCUCCCGCCGCGGGUGCCGCUGCCCGCCGGGAAUGCCGCCCGUCGCCCCUCACCCUCCCCGGUCCUCGCCACCGCCGCCGCCGCCUUGCGGACGGGCGCGCUCAGGUGGGUUCCUCUGUCCUCGCCCGGGUUUCGCGCCUGCACUGACGCCCGCGUAAUCGGCCUCGUGCUCAUGGUGAUGCGUGACUGUAUGUAUGCAGGGGAUGCGCUUCGCUGCCGCUGAAGCCGCAGCCGCCGGGCAUGAUGAUCACGGGCGCGGGCGCGGGGCGCCGGGGGUCCGCCGCCGUGUGCCGCGCGUCGUCGGCGUACCUCAGCCCGACCACCAUGCACUGGGUCUCCGCCGCGGCCACCGCGUGAGUGCCCCCCCUCCCUCACUCAAAAGUACUCUGCCUUUUUGGGUUCACCAGCUCGGCAACUGUUCGCUCUUUUGCCUGCGAGGACCGUGGCUAACUGCUAGCAUCCGACUGUAAAAUGCGGGAUCCUCGUUAUAGAUUCUGCGGUCUGUUGAUGUCGCUUGCUCAAAAAUUUCAUGGCACGCUACAGCGACAAUUGGAGUACUACUUACUUUUCUUGAUCAAUGAUCACGCGCUGCUAAUCUUUCUAUAUAGCGAGUAAAAAGGACAUCAUGCGAUGCAAAAAUAUAUGAAUGCAGAGCACCAAGGUAAUCUUUCUUCUGUAGCUGUCGAUGUCGUGACUUGAAAUAGCACCACUACUUGUUUUCUUCUUGAGGAUGAAUAGGCAUGUAAAGUUGAACACAACACAAAGUACUUUCUGCAAACUCAGCUAGUGCUGCUGCCUGGUGAAAAGUUGUGCUGUGCAGUUUAUUUGGGUUUUCAGUGAAGUGAAAUGAUUUAGAUCGCCACGUAAAUACAGUGUUAAACUCCCAGUACCCUUUAAUGAUUUAAUGAUUGUUCUUUUUGCAGGGUGCUCUUGCUUGCUAAAGGCACAGGCAUACACAAAUCUUUCCUCGUGCCCCUGUUUGCUCUUCAAGCACCUAGCAGUGUGGUCUCAUGGAUCAAGUAAGAUGCUGCUAUUUGGUGCAGAGAAUUAUCUAUACCUUUUCCUUCUCUUUGUUUCUCAUUGAUGUUUGUUCGUUUUAAAAUAAGAACACUGUCUUGAGGGCCUACUUAUUCUAUGGCAUCAAUUCCUAAUUUUAGGAGUGACUAUGGACUGUGGACUGCUUUUCUUGCUCUUUUGGUGCGCUUGUUCUUCUCCAUUCCAGGUAGUGUAAAAUAAGAUUCAUCAUAUAAAGGUUCAAGAUGGUGUAGGCUUACAGUUACUUUAUACCUUCAUAUCACUAUCACAGGUGAACUGGAGCUCCCAUUAUCAGCAAUGCUGCUUCUGAACGUUGCUCCUUACCAGAUGAUGAAUCUGAGGUACAUCACAGUAUCACAUUGCACUGUUUGGAAAUAAGAUCUUAGCAUCACUAGAACUAGUGCAUCUGUCAAAAUUGAAUUCUAUGAAAAUAUCACCAUGGCAUUAUUAAUAACUCGUAUUAAUAUAUCGAUGUUCUCAAUGAAACUAACUUGAGUUACCAUCUCGCUAUCAUGUUUCUGUACACUACUGUGUCAUAUGUGAAUAGCAGCAAGUACAUCCAACUGACUAUUCAGGAACCACUCCAUAGAGUAUUUUAGGUUUUCAGUUUAUGUCCUGAUUCUGAAAAUUGUCAUUUACCUUUUUGCUCAUGUGCUCACUUUCCAUGUACAGGGGAACUCAAGGUGGUGCGAUAGUGUCUCUGGCACUAGCAGCGUAUCUUGCCUUUCAGCACUUCACCCGGGCCGGAGGUUUGGGGAGAGCCUUUGAUCAGGGAUCGAUAAUUGCGACCUUGGCCAUCAUCUGCGUCACAGUUAUCAACGUGAUCCUGCUGUUCUGAGUUGGAUCAAGUUGGCAAGAGUUCGCUGCCCCUCAUUGUAGGUGUGGAGGGGGAGCAGGAGGUACUCAGGAGUGCAGAUAAAUAAAACCUUGUAAUGCAUCAUCCUGACAGACUUCCAAGCCCGUUUCAUCGUAAUAAGAAUCUUUACUGCUACUUAACUUGCAGUUGCGUCCGUGGUGGCUCGUACGUCGUCCCAACUUCACAGAAAUUACGUCUCUAUGCCACCGUCCGAACUCCGAUUUGUUUCUUCUCUUUCGUGUUCUCGUGUCUCGCCCAGCCCGCUGCCCACGCGCCACCGCUCCUCCUGCCCUGCGCGCCGCUGCCACCACCCACCUGCCUCUCCUCGCGCUCCUCCUCUGCUCGCACCGCCACCGCCCCGAUCUCUCUCUGCCAGCGUUGUCUCCUCCUCCUCCUCGCACACACCCGCCCAGAUCCACCUCCACCUCCUCGCACACGGCCCGCCCUGAUCCACCUUCUCCUCGCGCGAGGCCGAGGAGCGCGAGGAGGAGGCCGAGAUGCGCGCCGAGGCUGCCGCCCGCCAGGCCGAGAUCCGCCUCCUCCUCAUUGUGCUGCCGCCGUGGGAGAGCCGUCCUCCGCCGCGCCGCGUCCCCGUGACGCCACCUGCUCUCCCCCUUCUCAACGCAUCGAGUGCCCGAUGCCGCCAGCCGAGGCAAGGGUGCUCGAGACGUCCGCGAUGACUGCUUCGAAGUGGGAGGCAUCAAUAUUGUGUGGUAAGGUGAGUUCUCGAUUACUGCUUCCCCAUCCUCUUGUGUAGAAAAAUCUUUGUUUCACUAUUCUUUGAUAAGUAUGUGUGAGUGUGUCUUAAUGGUUUCUUCUGUUGGCUCUUUGUAGACUCUAGCUCUUUGUAAUCUUUUGUGCUUUAUGGAAUCCAGUAGAAAAAUCGGCAUUAGGCUGAUUUUAACUGAUAUUUCAAUCUCUUUCAUGCCUUUUAUGUUUGUAUUUUCCUGAUUACUAAUGGUUCACUAGCGUCAAUUCCAUCCGGUUAUUUAAUCAAACAAUAGCAUCUGUAUCAUUGUUUUCUCUUUCACUUUUGCUUGUUUUAUUAGUCUGUCCUAUAUGUGCUAAUGCUAGAGCUUGAAGUCUCUGCUACUGGAUAUUGGCAUUGAAAGAGCAACAGGAAUUGUCUGGUCUAUCACUGGAGGCAAUGAUAUAACUUUGGUGGAGGUAUUCCUGACGUGUGUGUUUUUUCUGCAUAUAAACUACAGUGUGUGUGGGUAUACAUAGCUACCAUCAAAGUUUGUUUCCUACAUGUUAGUGAGAAUCGAAAAUUGCUGGCUUUCAUAGCUCCCUGAAAGUUAAUACAUUUUGAUCCAAUUGGAUAUAUGUGUGAAGUUAUAUGUGAACUGAAUCCAGUAUUAUUGAUUCACUUUCAGGUGAAUGCAUCAGCUGAAGUUAUAUAUGAUCUUGUUUUUCUUUUUUGAGGGAUUAUAUAUGAUCUUGUUGAUCCUAUUACAAAUAUGAUAUUUGGCUCUGUUUUAGACCCAUCAUAUGCUGGUCAAGUAAGUUAACAAAGCAUUUGGUCAAGUAAGUUGACUUGUCAUAUGAAAUCUCAUCUUUUGACUGUACAGCCUGAACUUCUAAUACAACGGCAUCCAUGCGGGGAAGAUGAAUAUGUGAAGUCAGUGGCCGAGUUAAUUGAGAAGGAGCUAUCAAUUUUUACAAAUUCUGAAGAGGUCUGUGCAUUCCCUUCUCCCUCUUUUUGUUUUUCCUUUACUAUUUUUUGUUCAUCAAAUGACUUUCUAUUCGAUUUUUGGUAAAGUAGAAGGUAACAACUGUUGUAGAUUGAACAUUAUCUUAGUGUUAGGCAUCCUGUUGAAUAUCUCUUAAAUAAGUAUCCCAUCUACUGAAUGAUCUAUCUGCGGUCCGUCCUGGCAUUCAUUUGCUUGUCUCCUUUUGUGAUGAUGCAGCGAAUUGAGGAAUCAACAGAUGAUUUUUUUCUGUAUUACAUUUAGUUGCUCUUUGCAUGAUUCCUUUUUUUUACCAGCUUUGCAUGAUUCUUUUGGCAUGGAUGUUGACUGGGAGAUGAAAAAUAUACUUCAUCCAGGUUGAAAAGACAAACAUGGUUCUCCUACUGUGCUCCGUUUUCCAUAUUGUCGUAAUAACACCAAUAUACUGAUAACUAAACCCACUAGAGAGAAAUGUUUAUUAUAAAUGUUUUAAGUUUAAUUCGCUAAACAAUCUGAAAAUUAUGUACAAUCUGUAUAAGUUGAGAUAUAUUAGAAUAGUUUGAUGAGCUAUCAUAACGAUCCAUCUUAAUUAGGACCAAGACUUUAGCUGGUUACCUAGGUUACCUGUAGUCAAAAUUGUUUAAGGCAAAUUGUAUCAAGGUUUGAUGGUUAGAUUGACACUCCAAUUGUUUCUGUUCAUAGAUCUAUCAUCUACAAAUACUUCUUGUGUUGCAGGUUAUGAGCUAUGGCAAUCUUCGUAGAGUUCAAAUGUUGUGGUUCGAUACAGAACAGAAAAAAGAAGUCUCUUUUCCUCUCAAGAUGAGAGUAAGUAUCGGCAAAAAAUAAUAAUCUCUUCGUAGCGAUGCAAUUUCUUAUCACUCAGUCAUGAUGCAUAUAAGAGUAAGGGGAAUGGGCUGAUUUUGUGUAUAUUCUACAUUUUACUUUUCAGUAGUAAUUAGAUGAUUUAUGAUUUUCUUACAUCUCUCAAGGGAAGAUGUUGAGGGAGACCAUAAGGACACUACACAUUAUGUUGCGAAGAUAAUAUUGCUUUCCUGCUCUUAACACAGGACACCAGAGCAUGCAUUACAAAAUAAAUAUUCGAUGAGGUAUGGACGGUUGUCUUGAUGUGUUUAAUUUUGCAUUCUUUCCAAUAAUUUUGUUGGAGAACACGAGUGUCUUGACUUGUUUCGGUACUCCAACAUGGAUGCUUUGUGAUAUUUACAAUUGUGAGAAGAGGAUCCAUGGCCAAGUUCUUCGAUAAUAAUCGUUCAUGUGGAAUUUUGGAUUGUAUAUUGGUCCAUUGUAUUUUUUUUCCUCUCAUAUUGUCACAAUUAUUGAUUAUAUGACUUGGACUAUGUACAUGUUCAUAAGCAGUGGUGUCUCCUUAUCUGAUGAGGAUGACCAUGCAUCAAUUUUUCAUGUUUGUCAUUCUUCUUGUUAAGUUCUAGAAUGCUCAUUUUUCCGUUGCAACGCACGGGCACUUAACUAGCAAGAAUGAUUUGUGAGUUGUGACAUGGCUGACAGAUCUUCAUGUAUGGUAUAGUUUUGGUCUAUUAGUGUUCAGUGCUAUUCUAUGAUUAAUAUUUGCUCCCGUUUGUUGAUCUUAUUGUUGGAUUUUGCACCAAGAUUUUGGUGUCAACAGGUCUCAGCAGAACGUUGGCUACCGACAGAUAACACAGGGCAAUUGGUCUAGAUUCUGUCAUACUUGUAUACCUUUUCUACUCCCUCUAGUCCAUAAUAGGCGCUUGGGUUUUGUACUAACUUAUUAUGGAUCGAAGAGAGUAUAAAAUAACUUCUAGCAUAGGGUCACGGACCUCGCCAAGACUGUGACGAGCCUAUGGGUCCGCUGGAUCUGAAGGAUGCGGAUUGACCCACUUCGUUUUUUGUGUGGCCUCGGUUGUGAUAUCCUCGCCCAAGCUCAAUAGAUUGAUAGAAAACCUUUGCUAACAAGGUGCAUCUUCUUUUCUGGAAUCUCGUCUCAAUAAAACAUCUCGGUUCAGCGUGCUUAGCUUGAAGCAAUAUUGGUUUGGCGACCUUGUGGGGCCAGUCUAGAGCAUAGAGAGCUACGAGGAAUAACUACUUGGUUGGGUGAGUUGACCGACGGAGCAGGAACCUCCGUCCAUAUAUGAGGCACUCUUGCAUUACUAGAUUCUCAAUUUAAUUAAUUAAAUAUGUAUGUUUUUUAACAAAAAAAAACACCAUUAGUCCUUAUCAAAAGAACUUUCUAAUGAUUUUUUUAUUAUUUAGUUUAUAUUUAUUUAGCUAAAUUGACAAUCUAGUGAUGCGUGUGUGCCUCAUAUUAUGGGACGGAGGGAGUAAGCUCCUUAUUAACAGACUUCUGGUUAUGUUCCAGAUCUUGUUGCUGGCUCCUCUUACGGAGUUAUGGCAUCAAACUCUCGAAGCUGAAUUGGAAAUCAUGGGCUCCUAGUGGGUGAAGUUUUUCAUUUAUCUCUCUUGUUAGAACAUUGUUGGAUGACUGAGAGGGUGCCAAGAUGUCUGCGGCAACACGCCUUGAGGUGCUUGUUGUGCGACCAAUCAUUACAUCAUGGAUAGGGGCGGAGCCAUGAAAAAUUUGUAUGGGGACCAAGGUACAAAAAUACAUAGCUUAUAGUAUAAAAAACAUGUUGGUCCUGUGGCUCGGUCAUUUACCAUGGAUCAUUUCCUUACCAGAUACGCGCACCCUCUACGUGAUGUGUUGUUAUCGAUCUGAUCCGUUGCUGGUCCCUCUGUAGCGAAGACGUGUUUGUUAAAUGGUGGCACUUGAUUGUGCGGUACUUCUUGAGUGCCUCACGAAAGGUCACCUCGUCGAUCAUUUUGCUCAUGGCGUGGUGGAUCCAUAAGUACCGUCACGCAAUCGUCUUCGACAAUAUUUGACCCGACUUGAAUUGAGGCUAGUUAUAGCGUGAUUUCAUAAAAUUUCAAACUGAAUUCUUAUACCUAAUUCUGUGCCAAACAAGUUCAUUCUAAAAUCGUAUGAAAAUUUGAGAAUUAUAGAUCGAAAUGGCAGAUGCGAGUUUUUUUUUUUUAAACUUAGAUGCGAGUUGUCUGGCUGUCUUUUUUGCACAUGGGCCAGACAGAGCUAAUUUAUUUUCCUUGACACGCCCUCUCUCUUCUGCCCAUCUCGGUGCCGAGCGCCCCAGCCCCCUCGCUCCGUCGGUCGUCUUCCUCCUCGAGCGCCGCCACCCCUUCCUCUCCAUCCCGCUGCCGAGCGGCCCCAGCCCGUCUUCCUCCUCGCGCGGGCGUGUCCACCGCAGGUUGAUCUCCCCUUCGAUUCUUCCGCUCCCGGCCGUUUCUCCUCCCAUCACCCCACGAACGGAUCCCGCACCUUUAGCUCCCCGUUUCAUCUCCUUAAUCUUCCCCCAAUUCGUAACUGAGGGGAAAAUCAAGGUAGGGCGGGGCCGCCCUACUGGGUCCUCCGCCCGUGACGUCUGUUCCAGUACUAUUGUGUUACAUCGAGUGUAAUUUUGCCUGGUUAUUUGACCUGGAUUGUUGGAUUGUUGGAUUGAAUAGUAGUACUUCACAGCCGUGUUUUCUAGCAAGGUCAACAUCUCCUUUCCUGUUACUGAGCGUGCAAUCUGGGUUAUCGUAAAUUUCCGUAAGUGGAGAUAUUUGAAUAGUUCAGUUUGGCUUUGUUACUUAUGUACUGGAAAACCUCGUGCGUGCCAACAAACUAAUUCAAAACAUGUAUGUGAUAUACAAACUCUUUCUUCGCGGUAUAUGCAAUAUUGCAGUUUUUUUCAUGGGGUUUGUGUGGUACGUCAUAAAUCUUAAGUGACUGGACUUGUUAUGUACUUAUGUCAUUUAGCAUUUUUGUUUUACCAGAGUGUGGUAAAUCAUCAGUGCUGUAUUUAUACUUUCUGGAUUCAUUGACAUUGAGUACCUGGAAGUCUUGGGAGCAAUUUAUGGCAUUUAUAUAGUAGUACAUGUUGAUCUUCAUUCAUUCAGUCCUCUGAACUGUUAAGAACAAUGGCCUUGUCCAAAAGAUUCCCACCUUUUCAGUUUCAAUGUGUCCCACUCUUAGUACCCGACCGGCCUACUAUCUUGGUGUAAGAUAUACCAAACCAAUGUUAAGUUCAACGUUAGGACUUAGAACAUACUUCUGAGACCUGUUAAAGAACUGGGCCUGUAAACUUGGCAUCUGGUUCUUUUUUCCACACACAAAAAAUAAACAAUUGAGAUACCCAUGAAUGGUUUGUGCACUAUCCAUCUCUCCCUUUUUCAAAAGAUAAAUUUUGUGCAUGUCCUUUACAUUGGUUCCCUAGUACUCCCUCCGUUUCAUAUUAAAUGACUCAAAUUUGUCCAAAUAUGGAUGUAUCUAUGCCUAAAAAGCGUCUAGAUACAUGUAAUAGAAAGUCACUUAAUAUGGGACGGAGGGAGUAGUUACUUAUGCUAACAUGUUCAUCAUAACUGCUACAUUAUGGUUCAAAUGUGAAUAUAUUUUCCAGAAUAUGUUUCAGAUUUCCUCUCCAAUUUAUGUAUGUACUGCUGUGUAUGUAUGCUAAAUAUUUGGUGGCUUUGAGAUUAGUUAGCUGAUAAGAAAUUGAUCUCCUUGUAGCUUGUUUGGGCAUCUGUUCGUGCAGUAUGUCGGGGAAGCCAUCUGAUGAUAUGGCUGGUCAAGUGAGGCCUGAAGGAGAUGUUUCAGACGUGAAAGUAGAAACUGCCAACCAGAAUAAAGGAACUGAUAUGCCUUCACCACAGGAAGAGGUAUCAUCUUUUGUUAACAAUCGUAACGUUUAUUUAUCCUUUAGCAUUUAUGUAUACUUACAUGCUAUCAUUUGUAUUAUUUUGCUAAUUUAGCUUACAUUUUAAGACUGCCAAUAUUAUAUCCAUAACCACGAUGUAACUUAACCGGAUACUUGCAGGAGGCAGCAAUCAAGAAAAAAUAUGGUGGAGUACUGCCCAAAAAGUCACCACUUAUAUCCAAGGUAUCAAUGGCUUAGUAUAUUACUACGUUCUGCCAUAUAUACAAUUUCAUCAUCUGUUUAUAAAGCAGUAAGGGAAGUUAAAUUAUUUUUAGCUCCAUAUCCAUAUAAUUUCAUCUGCAUUAUGUCUAUCAGGAUCAUGAGCGAGCUUAUUUUGAUUCUGCUGAUUGGGCUCUGGGCAAGGUAUCGUACUGUUAUUUUGAAAAGCUAAAAGUAAAACUGAUAUUUGGAAGCAAUGUUAACUCUUACACUACAAUCUUGCUCCCUUGAUCCUUGGUUUCCUGCAGCAAGGAGGACAUCCUAAACCUAAAGGACCACUUGAAGCACUUCGACCAAAAUUACAGGUACUGACUGAAACUCUCCCUCAUUGCUUGGUACUCAUGAGAAUGUACUUGCCUUGUAUUUUGCUACCGUAGAGACUUAAUUUUUCUAUGGCAUUAGCUGCUAGCUGUUUGAUUAGGGUAUUUGGUGUUUUUUCAUUCUAAUAAUCAAUAGAGUUCAUGUCCAUAUUUUUUCUGUUGUUUGGCCCAGUAUUUAAACUGGAUUGAGUUUAAAUGAAAAGUCCCCUUCAUUGUUGUCUUUUUUUUUUUUGCUUAAGAGGCUCAUUUGUAGGCGAAUGUAGUGAUAGUUAUGAAGUUAACUUAUGCUAUACCAUACUCAUUUGUUGGCUUACAUCUUUAUCAAUUUUGUUACAGCCUACUCAACAGCAAGCCCGUUCACGUCGAUUUCUUCAUGCAUCUGCUGACAAUGAAGGUACUUGAUGUUACAAGAUGUCAAGCAAGAAAUCCUAAAUGUUUAUUUUGUCAUCGAUUCAAGCGUCACUUUUGCCUUGCAGAGGGGGGCAAUUCACCCACUGAGGCUACGAGCCAGAACCAGGAUUCCACCGAGGGCAAGGACGAGAGCAAGGAAUGAGUACAUGACGAGUAGCUCCAUGUUUUUUCCCAAACUGAACCAUGCCGUUUGAUAAGCCCGCGCCAUUUUGUGGCUGUAGUAAUAAGUACUCUAAUGCCCCUUAAUGCUCGCUGAAUUUUGAACCGCAUUGGAGACAUGCCGCGUCUACUGCGUUCUGCUGUUCCAUGUCUUGUACCUGUAACGAUUUGUGAUGGAAUUUGGAACAUUUUCGUGGCACUGAGUGUCUGCGCAGACAAAAUAAAAAUGUGAGCCUGUGAGAUGUUUCUUCCUUGUGCCACUACUGAUGAGUAGAACCAGAUUCCCUGAAACAAAAAAGAUGAGUAGAACCAGAUUCUUCUAACCUGCGGUGCUUGUUUCUUCUGGUGCUGCGCUGAGACGGUUCAUGUCUGAUGUUCGAAACCUGGGUGCCUGGCAAUAUCUGAACUAUUGAUGUUUUCCCGACUGCUGUAGGUUACGUAUUAUAUUUGAAUUUCAUAGGAUUUCAAGAGUUAUCAUGUAGGAGUAACUCAGUUUGGCGCUAUGGGAGUUUGUUGUCUUUGGACUCGUAGUUUUGCGAAAUUGCUGAUUUUCAAACAUGUUCCUUGACGAAUUUUCGAAACACAGUCCCAUCAUCGAAUCAAACAAAAACUGGAGCAAGCAUUGCUCUUUUAUUUUUGGAGAGGGGAUCAAGCAUUGCUAAUCGCCACCAAUCUGGAUGAAUCUCUGGAGUUUGACACGCCCUGGUCAAGCAUGUUGAGGAACCAACGACGGGGUGGGGUGGCCACCGAGUCGUGCACCCCCACCAAUCCCCCUGUUGACUCAUUUCUCCAUCUAAUAGUUUGUUGUGGACUCUUAUUCAUUGAGCCUAUAUAAAGAAGAGGAGGCUACCCCUCGUACGUACACUUGAGAUCAGAAAUUAAUAAAGAGCUCAUGUUCCUCUCUACUUGGUGUUCAUCUACUUUACUGUACUUCAUGAUUGUGCGUGUUUGAUUAGGAUCUUGGUGUGCAACCUCAGGACCGGUCAG
rnacentral:lncRNA from 1 species